rnacentral:tRNA from 1 species
GAAGAGAUGGCUUAGGGGUUAAGAGCGCUGACUGCUCUUCCAGAGGUCCUGAGUUCAAAUCCCAGCAACCACA